rnacentral:rRNA from 1 species
ACGGAAGGCAGCAGUGGGGAAUAUUGCACAAUGGGGGAAACCCUGAUGCAGCGACGCCGCGUGAAGGAUGACGUAUUUCGGUAUGUAAACUUCUAUCAGCAAGGAAGAUGAUGACGGUACUUGACUAAGAAGCCCCGGCUAACUACGUGCCAGCAGCCGCGGUAAUACGUAGGGGGCAAGCGUUAUCCGGAUUUACUGGGUGUAAAGGGCGCGUAGGCGGGGAUGCAAGUCAGAUGUGAAAUCUAUGGGCUUAACCCAUAAACUGCAUUUGAAACUGUAUCUCUUGAGUGUCGGAGAGGUAGAUGGAAUUCCUAGUGUAGCGGUGAAAUGCGUAGAUAUCAGGAGGAACACCAGUGGCGAAGGCGAUCUACUGGACGAUAACUGACGCUGAGGCGCGAAAGCGUGGGGAGCAAACAGGAUUAGAUACCCUGGUA